rnacentral:rRNA from 1 species
AUGAACGCUAGCUACAGGCUUAACACAUGCAAGUCGAGGGGCAUCAGGAAGAAAGCUUGCUUUCUUUGCUGGCGACCGGCGCACGGGUGAGUAACACGUAUCCAACCUGCCCUUUACUCGGGGAUAGCCUUUCGAAAGAAAGAUUAAUACCCGAUGGCAUAAUGAUUCCGCAUGGUUUCAUUAUUAAAGGAUUCCGGUAAAGGAUGGGGAUGCGUUCCAUUAGGUUGUUGGUGAGGUAACGGCUCACCAAGCCUUCGAUGGAUAGGGGUUCUGAGAGGAAGGUCCCCCACAUUGGAACUGAGACACGGUCCAAACUCCUACGGGAGGCAGCAGUGAGGAAUAUUGGUCAAUGGGCGCUAGCCUGAACCAGCCAAGUAGCGUGAAGGAUGAAGGCUCUAUGGGUCGUAAACUUCUUUUAUGUAAGAAUAAAGUGCAGUAUGUAUACUGUUUUGUAUGUAUUAUAUGAAUAAGGAUCGGCUAACUCCGUGCCAGCAGCCGCGGUAAUACGGAGGAUCCGAGCGUUAUCCGGAUUUAUUGGGUUUAAAGGGAGCGUAGGUGGACUGGUAAGUCAGUUGUGAAAGUUUGCGGCUCAACCGUAAAAUUGCAGUUGAUACUGUCAGUCUUGAGUACAGUAGAGGUGGGCGGAAUUCGUGGUGUAGCGGUGAAAUGCUUAGAUAUCACGAAGAACUCCGAUUGCGAAGGCAGCUCACUGGACUGCAACUGACACUGAUGCUCGAAAGUGUGGGUAUCAAACAGGAUUAGAUACCCUGGUAGUCCACACAGUAAACGAUGAAUACUCGCUGUUUGCGAUAUACAGUAAGCGGCCAAGCGAAAGCAUUAAGUAUUCCACCUGGGGAGUACGCCGGCAACGGUGAAACUCAAAGGAAUUGACGGGGGCCCGCACAAGCGGAGGAACAUGUGGUUUAAUUCGAUGAUACGCGAGGAACCUUACCCGGGCUUAAAUUGCAGUGGAAUGAUGUGGAAACAUGUCAGUGAGCAAUCACCGCUGUGAAGGUGCUGCAUGGUUGUCGUCAGCUCGCGCCGUGAGGUGUCGGCUUAAGUGCCAUAACGAGCGCAACCCUUAUCUUUAGUUACUAACAGGUCAUGCUGAGGACUCUAGAGAGACUGCCGUCGUAAGAUGUGAGGAAGGUGGGGAUGACGUCAAAUCAGCACGGCCCUUACGUCCGGGGCUACACACGUGUUACAAUGGGGGGUACAGAAGGCAGCUAGCGGGUGACCGUAUGCUAAUCCCAAAAUCCUCUCUCAGUUCGGAUCGAAGUCUGCAACCCGACUUCGUGAAGCUGGAUUCGCUAGUAAUCGCGCAUCAGCCACGGCGCGGUGAAUACGUUCCCGGGCCUUGUACACACCGCCCGUCAAGCCAUGGGAGCCGGGGGUACCUGAAGUACGUAACCGCAAGGAUCGUCCUAGGGUAAAACUGGUGACUGGGGCU